CCGUCGGGAUCACCUGUCUCGGGGGUACCUGAACCUGUUGGUGUGUUGAAGGAAUCUGUGAGCCACGGGGACUCAGCAAUCUAUGACCUCGGUGCCAGAACUAGUCAAGUUAUUAGGUAAGGAAGGUUUAGUGUUUAGGUUGCGGCAUCCUAAGCAUAUAUGGUGGCUAUCUUACGUAGAACAAGUAUUGAAGGUGGUCUAUACUAGCGAUCGAUGAUUAGCUGAUCACUAAGUGAUCCUGAACACCUACUUACGUCAAUCAUAACCCCACCGUGUUCCUGAUCGGAGAGAGGUCUUCGAAUGGGACAGUCACGGUUACGCACACAGUUGGCAAUUUUAUUAGAUUAUGUUCAAGUUAUCUAUAACCGGAUGUUAACAAAUAUUCCAAGUUGCCACAUAACCACGGGCACGGCUUUCUGAAAGAUUAAACCCUGCAGGGCUGCUCCAACUAGUCCAUCACAAACGGUCACGGGCCGCAAAGUAAUCCUCUAUCACGAAUCUCGUGAUCUCGUCGGAUUCCUUAGAGGAGAACCUCAACUCUGGGGAGAACCAAAGCUUCACCGGGAUUCCUAUACGCAAGAUAUAUCGCUAAGGUAAGACAAGACUAGCAUGACCUCCCGACGUGUCGACGACCCUGAUAAGAGCCGUGUAUCUUAGUCUCAAGACACGCCGGAUAAGCGAAGCGUACAGUGGCCAGAGAACUCUCCCGAGUUGCCCCGGGAUGGCCCCGCACGGUGCUCUAGUUUGGACCAACACUCAUGAGGAGCACUGACCCGGGUUGUUGAUUAAAUUCCUCGGGGAGGCCAUUCCCUAUGCAGAUUAUUAUUAAGUGAUUAGCAAAUUAACACCAAUGUUGGGUCCUGCCGAACAAGUCUUAACACUGCGCGAUUUAUCAAGGGGGUCAUCAUAACAACCCCGAACAUGUUAGGAGCGAUCAGUUAUGGAAUCAAACACCGGUAGCCGGUAACUAUGGCGGCAAUAACGGAACAAAACACCCAUCAAAAGGCUAGGCCUUCCUUUAUUUACCAAAUAUAUAGGUACAUUAAUUAAAUAACAGAUUAACAUAAUGAUAUCAAACUCAUGUUAUCACAUGAGACAAUGCACCUGCAACUAGCAACGCUAACAUUAGAAGCUUAGCAAAGCCUACUUAACCAUUCAGUAUUUGCUAGGAGGGGAAAAGUGUUUGGGUUUCAUGGCAAUAUUAGGAGGCAAUUAUUUCAGUGGUAGGAAGCGAGCAUAUGGCAAAGAAACGUGAAUCUAGCAUAACAAGUCUAGAGAUGGAAUUAAGGUCGCAUCUUGAAGUGUUGUUGUUCAUUGGAUGAUAUUCUUAUGUUGGGUAGCAGUUAUGAGAAGAUAAUACAAGUUCCUGGACAGAACUGUAAUCUAAGCUGCCUUGACAUGCAUGAGGAUGACAUGAACAGAUGCGUCACGCGAAAACGAUGCAAAAACAUAUAAAGAACAUUACAAACGGAGCUAUGGAUCAACUGGAAACAACGAAACAAGAAAUAGAGUCCUACGUAUCAAAUCCAUCACCACACACUCCAAAGGCAUACUUGUGGUAUUCCCAGGUUGCCAAAUCACAAAACAAACAAGAAUGGAUGGGGUGGUGCAAAGAAUAUCACCACACCAUCAACUAUGCACUCUGAAGCAUCAAAACAUCAACACUAUACAAUCUGCCAUAAACAGCAUCAUAGCAGUUUGAGGGCUACAUGCAAAGCACCUACAUCCACCCAAAUAUGCCAAAUAGGAUAUGUGGCAGAAGCUAUUCAGAAUUACUACAAGCACAAGCAAAAAGAUAAUGCAAAGGAGUUUCACACAGAAAGUUACACAACUGCUAACUUGGCCAAAAAUAUCAGUUUUCAGGGACUUAGUGAAAAUUCCAGAUUCUCACUAGUUGUUUAUGCACUGAAGCAUUUUGACAGCAUCCAAAACAAUAUCUACAAGAUUCCAAAUGGAAUUAAAAUUGACAGAGAGCUAGACAAAUACAAAAGCUACAACUUUCCAGUUGAUAGCUAAGACUGAUUCCCAACACAUGGACUUCUACAAGCACAACAACAGGAGAAGAAAAUAUAAGCAGAUUCUCAGACUUAGUGAAAAUCACAGAUUUUCGCUAAACUGGAAGCCACAUGCCUACUUUGACUAGGCACAACUUGCACACAUGAAAUCCUACGCAUGAAACAGAACCAACAUGUGGUAGAGGGGAUCACCCUCUACUGCCACAACAAAAAAUCAACCUCUUGGGCUCAUCACAUCACAUGGAACCAAGCUCUAAACAUGGAACAAAACUGAAAUAUGACAUUCCUAGAAAGUGUUCCAAAGUGGAAUCUGAACCCACCAUUGGAUUCCUGGGAUGAUUCUACCCCAAAAACAUAUAUAAUACCUAUGUACUUGCAUAGAACAAAUGGGCACAGACUUGAAAGGAAAACCUACAUGGAAUCACAUAGAGUGAAUAGUGCAUCAUCACAUGUGCUUCCACUAGCUCAUCACUUGUACAUGCUCUUGCACAUGUCCACAACACCAAUGGUGAACAUGAGGGUAGAGCUCAAGCUCAUGUGCCUUAGCACACCACCACUCACUCUCAUGCACCAAGCACAUCAUAAAAACAAAUACCUACACAUGCUAGAUAGAACACACAACUAACUUAUACUCACAUCAUGCUUUCUACCCCUACACACACAAGCUAGAACAUGUGCUCAUCAAAGGCUCUACAUAACUUGGGCAUGUGUGUGACACACACACACACAUGCACACACACACACACACACACAACAACAACACAUGAUCAACUACAAAUGCACACACACAAGGUAUGUGGGGGGGAACCCACACACACACAUACACCACACUCUUGCACAAUUAGUGCAUGAGCUCAACUCUAAUCAUGCACAUAUGUUUCACACACACACACACACCACAUAAUCAUCACCACUUUGGUGCCAUACACCCACAAGGUGCACACACACAUACAUGAUACUACACAUACAUAUAUGCAAUCACCCUUCACAUGCAUUUCUUCACUUGCUAGCAAAAAGAAUAGCCACAACAUGCUGUUUGGAGGCAAGAAAAAUACCCCACGUGAAGAUAUAGCACACCACAUACAUCUAUGCAAGCAUACAAUGCAAAAAAAUAAAAGAAUGCAACAAAAAAAGAAUGGGGAAGGAGUCAAACCCUAGACCUCCUGGUUCACCAACACACAAGCCACCACUCUGCUACUGACCACAUGCUCGACAGAGAAGGGAAGCCAAGCAAGGUAAGGCGCUACAUGCUGUUGUGCUACUGUACCGAGAGAAAAAUAGCACAAAAGGGGGGUUCACUCGGACUCGAACCCACGACGCGCCAGAUCCACAACAAACACUGCACCACUACGCUGCGUUACGGUACUUGACAGAUCCAAGGGAGUUAACAAGGUAUACUAACAGGCUGCCCUGCUCUGCUCUGAACACAGGGAGACGUCGACGGCAGCAACGCCACCGGAGCGUCUCCUGCUACUGCUGCUGCGUCGCGGGGACUAACUAACCUUCCACUACUGCGCUGCUACUCUGCAUAAGCCCGUGCACACCACAACACCUAACACGCAUGCACAACACAGGUACUGCCCUGCUCAUCUCCGACCAGAGAGGCCGGCCUCGAUCUCUACUGCGCGUCUACCGAGGGGGGAGGAGGAAGGAGCUAGGUCUCACCGAGGGGAAGGAGUGGAGAGGGGGGUCCGAUCGAAGAGGAAGAAGCCUGACGAGGAAUCGAAGAAGAUCUGAAGGAGCCGUGCUGCAGAACCGAAGUAGAGGAAUAGGCUGCCGGGAACACGCCGUGGACGAGCUCCUGCCCGUCGCUGUGGUCGCUCCCCGACCUCAACGACGACGGGAAUGGAGCACGGGCAUCCUCCCCGAGCCCCCGGACAUGGUGGCCAGCGACGGAGACGACGGGAGCACGGUGGAUGAUGGCGGAGCACUCCUGUUCUCUCUCUGCUACCGAUCUACAGAGCCCUUAUCUGAGGGGGAAGGAGAGAUGGAGGGAGGAGUGGCCGCGCUAGA
rnacentral:lncRNA from 1 species